UGUGUGUCUGUGUGUGUGUCUGUGUGUGUGUCUGUGUGUGUGUCUGUGCGUGUGUCUGUGCGUGUGUCUGUGCGUGUGUCUGUGCGUGUGUCUGUGCGUGUGUCUGUGCGUGUGUCUGUGUGUUAGCCUGUCUUUUCACUCUCCACCUUAUGUCAUUGUCAUUGUAGAUGCUGUAUGCAUACUGUAUGUGAAAAAAAAGAAACAAUGAAUGCAUAAACUUUAACUUCACUGACGUGCAUACACAUGCAUGGGGAAAUGUUGACAGGUUUUCUUAGCUUCAUGUGUAUGUGUCAAGUUGAUGGACCAUUCAACUCUAUUUCAUCAACUUUGAUUAUACAAGCCCUCUGUAACACAGUGAAUCUGUAUUUUAGCGUGAGCUUCUUUUACAACGAAACCAAUUGAUUUCUUUCAUUACACUGUUACACUGUCUAUCUCGUAGUAGUGUAGUCCCAAGUAUUUUAUUCAUGGUAAUGGUUAUAAUAAUAUUAUAAUAAUAAUAAUAAAUGCCAUUUAGCAGACGCUUUUAUCCAAAGCGACUUACAGUCAUGUGUGCAUACAUUCUACGUAUGGGUGGUCCCGGGAAUCGAACCCACUACCCUGGCGUUACAAGUGCCAUGCUCUACCAACUGAGCUACAGUGUCAAACACUUGAUUCAUAUUUGACUUGUUUUAACUUUUACCAGCUGGCUGGUUUAUUUGUUCUAUGCAGCAGAGAUGUAUUGGUAAACCUGUACCUGUGCUCUAUUUUGAAACAUUGAAAAAUCAAGUAUACAAAAAAAAAUUAUACACUAAAGAGUUGUAAUAAUUGGUUAUUUCUGAUUCCCAUGCUACUGUUUUUAUUUUUACAAGAGGGCUCAUUGUAUAUUUCCUAAAUUGUUUGGGUUCUGUUUUCGUACAUUCUUGACUAUUUGUAACCUGUGAUUCUUCUAACAAACGAGUUGAACCAAUAUGUUAACAUGAGGUUCUGCUGUCAUGAAUGGAGCGCUAAGGAUUUUCUGCUGCUUAUUUGAAAUAUGAAUUAAUCAACACAUCACUAUGGAGGGUGAGGUUUCUCUGAUGCAACACAUCACUAUGGAGGGUGAGGUUUCUCUGAUGCAACACAUCACUAUGGAGGGUGAGGUUUCUCUGAUGCAACACAUCACUAUGGAGGGUGAGGUUUCUCUGAUGCAACACAUCACUAUGGAGGGUGAGGUUUCUCUGAUGCAACACAUCACUAUGGAGGGUGAGGUUUCUCUGAUGCAACACAUCACUAUGGAGGGUGAGGUUUCUCUGAUGCAACACAUCACUAUGGAGGGUGAGGUUUCUCUGAUGCAACACAUCACUAUGGAGGGUGAGGUUUCUCUGAUGCAACACAUCACUAUGGAGGGUGAGGUUUCUCUGAUGCAACACAUCACUAUGGAGGGUGAGGUUUCUCUGAUGCAACACAUCACUAUGGAGGGUGAGGUUUCUCUGAUGCAACAUAUCAUCAGAUAUUUGUCAUCGCUUUUCAGCCACUAUAUCACCUACAUUUUGUGGGUUGAAGAACUUGGUAGGUAAGAGGAUGGCAGUCAAGACAGAUUGCUCUCUGAAAGACCGAGUACUGUAAAUCACUUUCAUUGUUCAAUCAGAUAUUAAAAAUCAAUCAUUUCUUUGAAUAUCAUAAUUUGCAAACUCACAUGGACCUUUCCUAAGGCUAAUCAGCUCAGUAGGUAGGGGAACCAGAAUUUAAUGGGGACCAGAUAUACCAUUCCUCUGUCUGAACCUUGGCUGGUAUGAUAUUCAUGAUAACAGCACUUAGGUCUGGACUACUAACUUAACAUAACAUUUUAUCUAUUUCAAUUAUUUAUCCUCUAUUUCUUUUAUUUUUGUUCAUCUUUGUAAAGGGAUUUUAAAACUAUGCACAUGAGUCCAAGACUCUCCGAGAGGUCCACCCAAACUCAUGACCUUAAGAAUUAUAAUAUUAAUAAUAAGAGAUGUAUAUGAUUUAAAAAGUCAACAGUUAAUGAAUUUAUAUCAAUAGACGACUAUUGAAAUUACAAUUUUUCUGAUUUUCCAGAAUUAUUUAGACAUUUAUUGUAAACACACACACAGGUAUUGCUCCAAAGUUUUCAUCUUUUUUUUUCUCCUAAAAUGCAUUUGUUCUAUCACAUUCAACUCACAUGUGGAGGGACACUGUGACAUGAUGAAUUGGAACUAUAUCUGUACACACAUUGUAAUGUUUCCUAUUCAAGAUGGUAAAUGUCUAUUUGAACAAUUUAAAUAUUUUGGGGAAAUAAAGCUGUUGUUGGGUAUCUAAAAAAA